UACAGAGGGGGCAAGCGUUAUUCGGAAUUAUUGGGCGUAAAGGGCGCGUAGGCGGCUCCGCAAGUCGGGGGUGAAAUCUUUCGGCUUAACCGGAAAAGUGCCUCUGAUACUGCGGAGCUCGAGGGAGGUAAGGGCGGACGGAACUUCCGGUGGAGCGGUGAAAUGCGUUGAUAUCGGAAGGAACGCCGGUGGCGAAAGCGGUCCGCUGGCCCUCUACUGACGCUGAGGCGCGAAAGCCAGGGGAGCAAACGGG
rnacentral:rRNA from 1 species